GUUUCCGUAGGUGAACUGCGGAAGGAUCAUUA
rnacentral:rRNA from 1 species